GGAACUUUCUGCUGUCAAUUAUAGCCUUUCUUCCACAAUUUUUUUGCAAUUCAGCCUAAGUUGUGCAGCUGGGGAGAAGGAGGAAGAAGAAGAAAAAGAGGAGUAGGAGGAGGAGGAGGAGGAGACAGUUGGUCCCAGAGCCAACUGAUAUGCCUACUCAGAUAUGUAAUUUUACUCUUUUUGCCUUAACGUUGCUGGUUUUACUUAUAUUGGGGGGGGUUGAUAUAUCAAUUUGCUUUUAAAGUUUUUUCUCAGUAUUUUUAAUACCUAACUCAUAUUGUUUUAUUUGAACUGCCUAGAGGUUUCCUCUGAUAAAGUAGUCCAUAAUACUACUUUAGUAUGGGAUAAUGUAGUCCCAUAAUGUAGUCUGUAGUCCGCUGGCAGUAGGAGUACAAUAUGGGCAUGUCUUUAAGUUAACAUCUUACAUUAAAAACCUGACAGUACCAAAUUAUCGAAGGCUUUUCACCAAAGCCAGACUAAACGUCUUUCCUUCUGCAGUGUUGGAUGGCAGGUUGAGAGGAGUUCCCUACCAGGACAGACUUUGCUCGUGUGCUCAAGACAUUGAUUCCAUAAAACAUAUUUUGUUGCACUGUGCAAAAUAUGAGCAAGCCAGGGCUGAACUGAUAUUACCCUUGCUGGUACCUUUCCCGGGAAAAUCAGAGGCUCACUAUGUCAGCUUCCUAUUGGAAGACCAGACAAAUGCUAGAACAUUAGCAGUGGCCAAGUUUUUUUUUUUUUUUUUUUUUAUAAUAUUUUUUAUUGCAUUUUUCCAGAUAGAAAUACAAGGUCAGAUAUACAAAGAAAUAACAGAAAAAAGAAAGAAAAAGAAGAAAAUCAUCUUUUCAAAACAUUUUUCCAUAACCAACCGGACUUCCCCCCGUCCCCCUCACCUUGCGUUCUUUACAAUAAAAUUUUUCAGCAAAUUAUAACCUUAUUUCGUGCAUUCUUUUGUUCUUUCAAAUACUUGUGAUUUGCGUUUAAAAUGCUUAUUGUCAAUUUACACUAAUAAUAUAUAUAAUGUUCUUUUAAACGUUAGUCCUUUCAUUAAUAUAGCUUAGUUUCCCAUACCUUAAUCUUAUUGCUGGAGCUGAAUUUCCUAAUCAUGCGAAUUCUUAACAUUCAUAUAACUUAUAAAAUUUUUGUAAAUAAUCUUUAAAUUUUUUCCAAUCCUCCUCCAUUGCUUCUUCCUCCAAAUCUCGGAUCCUGGCGGUCAUCUCGGCCAAUUCCAUGUAGCCCAUCAAUUGCGUCUGCCACUCUUCCAGCGUGGGUAAAUCUUGAGUCUUCCAGUAUUUUGCGAUAAGAAUUCUUGCUGCUGUAGUUGCAUACAUAAAAAAGGUUCUAUCCUUCUUUAACACCUUCUGACCGACAAUGCCCAGUAGGAAGGCCUCUGGUUUCUUGGGAAAAGUGUACUUAAACACUUUUUUUAACUCGUUAUAGAUCAUUUCCCAGAAGGCCUUCACUUUUGGGCAAGUCCACCAGAGGUGAAAGAAUGUCCCUUCAGCCUCCUUACAUUUCCAACAUUUAUUAUCAGACAAAUGAUAUAUCUUAGCAAGUUUGACUGGGGUCAUGUACCACCUGUAUAUCAUUUUCAUAAUAUUCUCUUUCAAGGCAUUACAUGCCGUGAAUUUCAUACCAGUGGUCCAUAACCUUUCCCAGUCUUCAAACAUAAUGUUGUACCCAAUGUCCUGAGCCCAUUUUAUCAUGGCUGAUUUAACUGUCUCAUCCUGAGUGUUCCAUUUAAGCAGCAAGAUAUACAUUCUCGAAAGUACCUUGGUCUUUGGUUCCAACAAUUCUGUCUCUAGUUUCGAUUUUUCCACCUGGAAACCUGUUCUUUUGUCCAGCUUAAAAACCUCUUGAAUUUGAGCAUAGUGAAGCCAAUUUUGCACCUUAUUCUUUAAUUUUUCAUAACUCUGCAGCCUCCAAGUUUCUCCUACUUUUUCUAUAAUUCCCCAUAUUUCAGCCAACCAACCUCCAUAUUAGGUUUUUUCCGGGCCUUGGCCUCUGCUGGUGAAAGCCACCUCGGAGUCUUACCCUCUAAUAAGUCCUUGUAUUUUGUCCAGACCAUAAAUAUUGAUUUUCUAACAAUAUGAUUUUUGAACAUUUNNNNNNNNNNNNNNNNNNNNNNNNNNNNNNNNNNNNNNNNNNNNNNNNNNNNNNNNNNNNNNNNNNNNNNNNNNNNNNNNNNNNNNNNNNNNNNNNNNNNAAAGGUCGGCGCUCAUCAGCAGCAGCCGCGCGGCUUCACUCCCGCAGAAAGAGCGAUGAACUCACAGCACCGCUCCCCCCUUCCACGUUUCCGGAGCCCCUUACGGGGUUCCUUCUUCGUUUUUGGGGUCGCUCCUGGUGCCCGCCGAGUCCCAGGGCCACGGGCUCACUCUGCCCGUGGUUUUCCUUAAUGGGUCACCGCUGUGCCGCAGCGGACGACCCUUUUCUGCGGAGCCCCUCUUCAGAGACCGAAGAGGACCGCCAUUGCCGUUUCGCGCCGCCUCCAGGAAGUCCCUCAGCAGUGGCCAAGUUUUUAUCGGUGGUUGCAAGAACCAAUGAUCCCUAUAUUCUGAACGAAAUGCUUGUUUAACCUGGAGGUAGGCUGUAUGAAUUGUGUAUUGCUUUGUAACAAUUUGUUGAUGAUGACGAUGACUUUAGUGGUGUGCUUGUGUGUACGUGUGCGCCUUAUUUUGGCAUGCCCAUGGAACUUCCUGAAUGACUUUUUCACAUUCUCUAUUGUACAGUGCACAAACACCGAAUUAUUCUGUGCCUCCUAAAGCUAAAAGAACUUUUUCUGAGAGAGCUUUCUCUAGCACAAUGAGGGAUGUGAGGUAAGAAGAAAGCUAUAAGAAAAUCUUGAAAUGUUGUGGAGGGGUCUCAAAACUGGAUGAUUGUUGUGGGUUGUUUUUUUUUUUGGAAGGGGUUACUUCUCUGGCAUGGGUCUUUGAAAGUGGGGAGACAUUUUUAGGUUGAAAUUUAGCACAUACCCAAGGACUAUAUCUGUUGCAGAUAUUAAUAUAAAAAUUGUGCCGUUUGAAGUGACUGAAUACAUGAAAACUGAGUCCUUUUGGAAUGAAAAUUUUAAUUGUUUAAGUUUAAUUCAAAAGUUAACUUGCAGAACUUUUUUUCAAAAAACAGAACCAAAGCACCAAAGAGACAUCCAAAAUAUCUAUACAAUGUAUUGUGCUGUCCAGCACAGGUUCAGCAUCGUAGAAGUAAAAUAAACUUAUAAUCCGAGCUGACAAACAUACCUCUUUCUUUCUUUCUUUCUUUCUUUCUUUCUUUCUUUCUUUCUUUCUCUCUCUCUCUCUCUCUCUCUCUCUCUCUCUCUCCCUCUCUCUGGCAUUGCAUUCCAGCCCCUUUAAAAGGUAAAGGGACCCCUGACCGUUAGGUCCAGUCGUGGCCGACUCUGGGGUUGCGGCACUCAUCUCACUUUAUUGGCCAAGGGAGCUGGCGUACAGCUUCCGGGUCAUGUGGGCAGCAUGACUAAGCCACUUCUGGCGAACCAGGGCACAGAAACGCCGUUUACCUUCCUGCCAGAGUGGUACCUAUUUAUUUACUUGCACUUUGACGUGCUUUCGAACUGCUAGGUUGGCAGGAGCAGGGACUGAGAAACGGGAGCUCACCCCAUCGCGGGGAUUCGAACCACCGACCUUCUGAUCGGCAAGUCCUAGGGUCUUUGGUUUAACCCACAGCACCACCCGCCCAGCCCCUUUAGCCUAGAGCUGUUUACCUGAAGCACUUCAUUUACAUCCUUACUCUCAGAGGGAAAAGGAGGGGGGGUGGAACAGCCCCACUCUCAGACCAGUGACUUGAAAUCCCUUGAAAUAACGGGGAAACAAAACACUAGAUUGGCCCAAAAAGACACAGAUUACGUAGCUCCAAGAUGGGAUCAGUCUGCUUUCCAAAGCUGCAAAUACCAGUCCAGUCUUGUGCCCAAAACACACCAUUAAUUGUUAGUGCUGAUCUGAUCCAUAAUGAUCCAUAAUGAUCUUUCAUUCCCCAGUUUAAAAUACACUUUUCCCUGUUCACUGCAUCUUAUUUCUUCCACUGCUCCCCCCCUUUUAAAAUCCAUUUUCCCCCUCUUGCUGUUACAGCAAGAAAGUAAAAGGUGACCUAGUUUUAACUUGUAGGGUCCUUUCCCUCUGAAUCAAUGCACUGCUCUAUGGGACAUUUGCAGAAAUCGUUCUAUCUUCUACUUGAUCAAACAAAUUGGGGAAGACGGAGGGGACGGGGACGGACAAAUCCAAAGGGGGGGGAGACAAAGACAAAUUAUUGUGGCUAUUGGGGAGAUUUCCUGUGCAUUUUCAUGAGUUCUAAAAAAUCACCUAUGCUACAAAAACACGCACAUAAGUCAUUCACGAAGCAUGGUGAUUGGAACGUAAAAUUGCCUUUCUUUCCGAAGUGAUGGCAUUCUGCGAUGAAUUCCAGGUCCUUGGCAAGUAUCCUGGAGGGCGAAAUAAUACAUAUGAUUAAGUGCUAUUUAUUGAUAGUCACAAAACAUUGUUUCUUGUGGCUAAAAUUAGAUGAUCUAAUUGGUUGCUAGGAUUUGGUUUGGGGAGAAAGCAGAGAUUAUUUUCAGCACAGCUAAAAACUAUUGUGAUCGGCAUGGCCACAGCAGUGUGGGUGGAUGCUGUGAAUCCAUAGGAAUAGAGAAAAAUGAGAGAUGUGGAUUGGGCGAGGAAUCUCUGGGAAGAAUUCAACAGAGCACUGUGGAGAUCGUUCCAUCAGCUUACCAGAUGGAACGGUCUCCCUUUCCUCCCCCUAUAGCAUGCUUUGCUGUGGGUUCUCCCAACCACCAUCACAUCCAAGACAAUUGGGGGUGCACAGGAGAUAGCAACAGGAGAUGCAUACUCUCCAAGUGUCCCUAUUUUCCGGGGACUGUCCUGGAUUUACAGAAGCUGUCCCAGUUUCUGAUAUGAUCCCAGAAUGUCCCGCUUUUCCUUAGGAUGUCCCUAUUUUCAUUGGAGGGUACGGAGUUAAGUUACCCCUGAGCAGGGCCGGAUUUAGGUUUGAUGAGGCCCUAAGCUACUGAAGGUAAUGGGGCCCUUUAUAUGUCCAGCUGUCUGUCAGCAACAAAUUGUUGCUGUUUUUUGUGUUGAAUAUAUGCUGUUUGGUAAUUUAUGGACCUAAUAGGUAUCCAAAGCCAUUUGCACAUGCAGAAUGUAGGCACCCUAUAUAUAGAAAAGAGCAAACCAGGGAUAUUUUAGGGAGCAGGCUAGCAGGCGGGGCCCAUGACUUGCAUCAUAGGAGCCUACACAACACAAAACCCUGUUGCUGUAUGUAGGUUUUAUUUUAUUUGUUUUUUAUCUUCUAUUUUGGAAAUGUACAUCCAGGUUGUUUUUUUCCUUUAAUUUUUUGGGGGGCCCCAAGAGCGUGAGGCCCCAAGCUAUAGCUUCUUUAGCUUAUACGUAAAUCCAGCACUGCCCCUGAGCCAAGGAGAUAAAUAACUAUACAAUCUUUAGAAGACAUCUGAAGGCAGCCCCAUAUAGGGAAGUUUUUAAAAAAUGUUUAAUGUUUUAUUAUGUUUUUAUAUAUGUUGGAAGCUGCCCAGAUUGCCUGUGACAACUUAAUAAAAUUAUUAGCAGUGGUAGUACUGUGAUACCUCGGUUUAAGAACAGCCCUGUUUACGAACUAUUCAGUAUACGAACUCCGCAAAACCGGAAGUGGUGUUCCGGUUAGUGAAUUUUACCUCGGUCUACGAACAGAAGCUGAAUGGUAGAAGGGCACUGGCGGUGGGAGGCCUCAUUAGGGAAAGCGGCAUCGGUUUAAGAAAGGCUUUGGUUUAAGAAUGGACUUCCGGAACAGAUUAAGUUCGUAAACCGAGGUACCACUGUAGUAUCAUCAUCCUUUUCAUCAUUGAACAGGACAUCCCUAUUUUCAUUGGAGAAAUGUUGGAGAGUAUGUAAACCUGGACACUGCAUACACUGUCCAAGUCCUUUCUUUGUGUGCCCUCUCCAAAGGAGGUGCAGAGGGUGGCAUCACAAGCAAGGGCCUUUUCAGUGGUGGCUCCUCACUUGUGGAAUGCUCUCCCCAAGGAAGCACACCUGGCACCAUUGUUGUCUGCUUUUAGGUGCCAGGUAUAAUCCUGUGCCUGAGGUUCCCCAUCUCUGCCCUGAAGCCCGAACACAUGAGUUUUUCCUGGGCGUGACAAUGUUCCAAUCCCUUGCUUCUCAAUCUGCUAAGGCUACCACGGGUCUCAUCCUGAACAGGCUGUAUCCCUCUCUAGAGUCUGAUGUCAGUGCCUUAUUCGUGCUCCAUUUCUUGUUUUUACAGCAUAGCUGGCAAAGUAUUCUCAUUCGAUUUCCUUUUUCGGUGAGUACCGAACCUCUUUUUCCUUUCCGUAAGACGGGAUGCUUGCUUAGCUUGUGUGAAUUGCACUUCAGGGAGACUAUGGAAGCUCCUGUUUCUUCUCAAAUAACAAGUUACAGGAGCAAGAACAAGGGUGUUAAGAUCACAUUUAAUUUUGAUGUUAAGGGGCAAGAAUGCAGCAGAUAAAAUAAAACAUCUAUGCGAAAGUAAUACGUUUCCCCCCAAAUGCAAUGACUCCUUCUGCGAGUCAUUUCCAUUUCCUUGCGAUAUUAAUCCAUUAGGUAACUGGGGGGGGGGGGUGAGCAGCAACUUGGUCUCCAUUGAAUAAAAGAAGUUACCAUCUGACCUUUUUUGCCUGCAGGAAACAUGGUGAAAUCCUUUUGGGAAACCAGCUGCUUACACCCUGGGUUUCCUAACAAUUUUCAAGUCUCUUUAAAAGCAAAUCAGACUCACUCACUCACUAGGAUACCUCUGGAGAGAUGAGACGUCGGGAUGAGAUGAGAGAUGGAUGUCGGGAGCUGGGCAUUCAACAACUAGGAUCACAGCACUGCCCAAUUCAGCCCUGCAAUUAGAUGACCUCUGAAGGAACCAAAGGCCAUGUUCACAAGAUCACUUUGUAUUUGUUAAAAUCAACAUAAGCUUACUUCUAUGAGCAAAAAGUGUUCUUUAUUAACUCAAAAGGGGGAGGGCAUUUUCAGGCCCGUGGACCAGAUAUUUAUCUCUCUCUCUCACCCCUGUAGGCCAAGUUUUAAAGGUGGGUGAUCAUCUGAUAUGCAGAGACCACUUGCAUCUAAAUUGGUGUGAUUUUUAAAAAUCCUAAUCUGUUUCUGAGACACUCUGUGCUCACUUCUCUUCAAUCUGUGCUCUGGGUUCCAAGCUGCUCCGUAUAAAAUGAAAUUAUGUGCUCCUCAUUCAUUACAAAUGGGAAAUUUUGAAAGUGGCUGUAACUUUUUUCUUUUUUGCAGAAGUUGAAAAGCAGGUGGUUCCCCUCCAGGGUAAGGACUCCCCACAGUUUACUGUGUAUUUAAAACUGUUUGUGUUUCCAUGUAGUUUGUGUAGUUCACAUGACAUUCCCUUCCAACAACACCAAUCUUGAUGCUUCCCUAUGUUAAAUUUAGGUUUAUCCAAAUUUAGGUUUAUUCAAUACAAGGAUAAUCUGAUGAAUGGAGGGAAAUCAGGUCCUAAACUGCAGCGCUCAGGGUUGCAGAUUAUUUCUUUUGGUGUUUGGUAGUGAGUGUACUUGUCACUUUCUGCGACUCCUCUUUCCAUGCCCACUACUUCCUCAGUGUUGUAAUAUAUAGUUAUUGGCUCACACUUGCAUGCACGAAAGGGUUAACCUGAGCCCAGAGCUCAGAUAGCCAGUGGGUGGAGCUAGCAAGUUCCCGGCAGCCUUUGCUCCACCCUCUUUCUGUCUCUCUUUGACAGAAAGAAAGAAAGCAGUCAUGUGUUUUCGUUCCCAGCUCAGCAAAAUGCUGCACAUGAAUGAAAAGUCUCUCUAAAAGAAUAUUUUUACAGCCUGCUGACCCAAAAAUUACAUGAUCCUUUUUGUAAGGAAACAAGUUUUCUUUUUAAAUUGUUUGGGAACUUUUCUUCUUCAUCAUUUUACUGCCAAUGGAUGGAGACUUGUUUGCUGUAACUCCUGAAACUCUGUGACUUAAUUCUUCACUUAUUUGCAAAGCUAAACAUCUGAGAUUUAUUCUAGCCUAACUAUUUUCAUGGGGAGCAUUUGCUUAAAGGUAGAUGAGGGCAGAUGUUAAUCUAACCAAAUUUUAAAGUGCUUGGUUCAAUUGUCAUUGUACUAACUCAGCUACUGGAGAGUAGGAAUCUCUCUUCCAAAUCUCUCUCUCCAAUGCUUUCAUUACUUUUCUUGUGCUUGUAAUUAUUUCUGGCUCAUUCCUGAAUGGAGGAGUGUAGCCUCCCCCCCUUUUUUUCUUUUGAUCACCCAAAUUUGUGCAAAACAAGCAAACCACAAUAAACACAAGCACACCAC
rnacentral:lncRNA from 1 species